rnacentral:rRNA from 1 species
AUGGAGUCAGAUCUGCUCAUCAGACAGGAGGAAGUUGGAGCCGAAAGAGGAGAUGAUUUUCGCAGCAGGUGUUGGGAGAUAUUUAAUUGGGAUGUCUUUGAUCCUGAUGAAUUACUUCCGAGGCGACAAGCAGUGAAAGGAAAAUUGGAUGAGCAAAAAAUCAAUGGUCGACCAAAGGAGGUAAAGAAUCAAGAUCAACAAAAAGCACCAAUAAUGAAAAUUGGCAUGUCUUCCAUUUACCUUACGGCAUGUUGGAGGGCUCCAGAUUCGGACGCGUGCUACAUCUGUGGACAGGACGGUCACUAUGAGCAGUCUUGCCAUUACAAUUAUAUCUAUGGGCGAUAUGGGUUAUAUGACCAACACACUUGUAGAGCAAACUGCCUUCCUGGACCACACACAAUGGCCAUGGCUUGUCGGAACUCUUUGCAGAGUUUCAUACGCGUGAAUAACAUGCCAUCACGCUUCUGUACGUGGGACCUUCGGAAGCUUUUGGAACCAUUCGGACCGCUGCUGAUGUGCCACGUUCCAAUGGGCAGUUCUGAAGUGCGCAGGGGAUAUGGGGUUGUGAUCUUCAAGGAUCGUGGGGAUGGGGAGAGGGCAAUCGAAGCGCUCAAUGGCUAUCUCGUAGGCAAAAGUAAACUGCGAGUUGACUGGGCUUAUGCAAUGGCCCCCGGCGGUAGACCAAGGGAGAAAUGCAAUAUCUCGAAGACAAAGAGGGUUUUCAAGAGCCGGCCUCCGCUGCAAGGGCCGGGGAAACAGCGAGCUCUUGGUUUUCUCUUACCCAAGUUUUGGAGAUUCUACCCCUCCUGUAAUACGCUCUUGCUUAGGAAGAGUAACAACACAGUGCCGAUCAAUGGGGCAGGGGAGGAACGACAAAAAAUGAACGUGGAAAGUAGUGGUGCCAUCAAAACCAGUUGGAGGGAUCCCGACGCUAAAUCCUGCUGGAUCUGCGGAGACGAGGAGCGAGGGCACUCGGAGCCGACGUGCCCUUACAACUACCUAUCUCCCGCCUCAUACGCUCCCUGCAGGACACGGCUGCUCCUCUGGCAACACGAAACCAGUCGCGCAUGUCCGAGGCCUAAAGAUCUCGAUGCGACCAGCUUAAGGCGACUCAAGUUUCUGCGGUGCUUCGUGCGCGUGAAUAACCUGCCGAGGCAUUGUUGCCCGGAGAAGCUUGUCGGCCUGUUCGUCCGGUUCGGGCCGCUGCAGAGCUGGCAUGUCGCCUUUGCUGAUCAUGGCUCCGGUGCCUGCAGCGGCUUCGGCUACAUGGUCUUCCGGCACCGUGCGCAUGCGGAGGAAGCCAUUGACGUGCUCAAUUGCUGCGUCUUUAGUGACCGUAAGCUGCGAGUCGACUGGGCUUAUCCUUGCGCGUAG